rnacentral:rRNA from 1 species
UACAGAGGUCUCAAGCGUUGUUCGGAUUCAUUGGGCGUAAAGGGUGCGUAGGCGGCGCGGUAAGUCGGGUGUGAAAAUCUUGGAGCUUAACUCCGAAACUGCAUUCGAUACUGCCGUGCUUGAGGACUGGAGAGGAGACUGGAAUUCAUGGUGUAGCAGUGAAAUGCGUAGAGAUCAUGAGGAAGACCAGUGGCGAAGGCGGGUCUCUGGACAGUUCCUGACACUGAGGCACGAAGGCCAGGGGAGCAAACGGG